GACGAACGCUGGCGGCGUGCUUAACACAUGCAAGUCGAACGGAAAGGCCUUUUCGGCGGUACUCGAGUGGCGAACGGGUGAGUAACACGUGGGUGAUCUGCCCUGCACUCUGGGAUAAGCCUGGGAAACUGGGUCUAAUACCGGAUAGGACCGCACUUUAGUGUGUGUGGUGGAAAGUUUUUUCGGUGUAGGAUGAGCCCGCGGCCUAUCAGCUUGUUGGUGGGGUAAUGGCCUACCAAGGCGGCGACGGGUAGCCGGACUGAGAGGUUGGUCGGCCACAUUGGGACUGAGAUACGGCCCAGACUCCGACGGGAGGCAGAAGUGGGGAAUAUUGAACAAUGGGCGCAAGCCUGAUGCAGCGAAGCCGCGUGGGGGAUGACGGCCUUCGGGUUGUAAACUCCUUUCGCCAGGGACGAAGCGUUUUGUGACGGUACCUGGAGAAGAAGCACCGGCUAACUACGUG
rnacentral:rRNA from 1 species